NCUACGGGAGGCAGCAGUGGGGAAUAUUGGACAAUGGGCGAAAGCCUGAUCCAGCAAUGCCGCGUGAGUGAUGAAGGCCUUAGGGUUGUAAAGCUCUUUUACCAGGGAUGAUAAUGACAGUACCUGGAGAAUAAGCUCCGGCUAACUCCGUGCCAGCAGCCGCGGUAAU
rnacentral:rRNA from 1 species